rnacentral:rRNA from 1 species
AUGGGCGGUUCAGGUGCAUUCCCCAAGCUGAGAGUCUUCAAGACACAAGCAACGACCUGCUCAUUUCAAGAGGGAGAUAUGCUGGUCCUUGAAUCUCUUGAGUUCCAAGUCGUAGCACAUGCCAGUGAUGAUGACAUUAGCUUUGAAUUUGACUUUGGUAGCCUAGGGAACCUCCAUCUCCUUCAGGAAGUCAAAGUCUAUUUGUGGGCCCCUCUUGCGGAUUUCAAGAAUGCUGAGGAAAUGGCGAAGCGUGCAAUAUAUGUGCUUCCCAACUGCCCUAGGCAUCGUAUCACACAACAGGAUAUGAUGGAUUGGAGUCGGAGGUUGGAAGCGUUACCAAAUCAGCCACGGAGAAAGAAAAAUAUAGCAAGAGCCUUCCGUUUGUUUGGUCCAUUUAUUGUCCUUCGAAGGAAAGGAAAAAAAUCACGAAAAAAGCACAUUGCUUUGUUUUCUUUUGUAGCAAAUUUAAAAAUCACACAGAGGCAAAAAAAGAGUCUGUUUGCUAUGUUUUCUUUUGUAGCAAAUGAAAAAAUCACAAAAAAAUUGGUUGUUUUACUGUCUUUUUUAGUCCAGGAAAGUGAAAUAACAAAACAAAAUUGUUUACUUUGUGGAAUCUAG